rnacentral:rRNA from 1 species
GCGGCUAUCUGACUCAUACUUAGACAUGCAAGUUUGACCGCAAGGUCGGCGAACUGCUCAGUAACACGUAGCUAACCUACCCUUAAGUCAAUGAUACCCUCGGGAAACUGAGAAUAAACAUUGAUAGAAAAUGUUUUCUGGAAUGAGAUAUUUUUUAAAUUCGAGCUUAAGGACGGGGCUGCGGCUGAUUAGCUAGUUGUUGGUGUAAUGGACUAACAAGGCAAUGAUCAGUAAGGGCUCUUAGCGGAGAAGCCCUGAGAAGGAAUCUGAGACACUAUUCCUAGCUCUACGGGGUGCAGCAGUCGAGGAAAUUCUGCAAUGCGCGCAAGCGUGACAGAAUGAGUCAGAGUGUUUGAUUUAAUCAAACUUUUAUAUGUUGUAAAAAGACAUAGGAAUAAGGACUGGGCAAGACCGGUGCCAGCCGCCGCGGUAAUCCCGACGGUCCAAGUCGCAUCCACAAUUAUUGGGUCUAAAACAUUCGUAGCUUGCUUUGUAAGUUUCUUGUGAAAUCUUAUAUCUUAAGUAUAAGGCGUGCAAGAAGUACUACAUUGCUAGAGACCGGAAGACGCAAAGAGUAUGUUUGAGGUAGCGGUAAAAUGUGUUAAUCUUGAACAGACUAACAAUGGCGAAGGCACUUUGCGAGCACGGAUCUGACAGUGAGGAAUGAAGGCUAGGGGCGCAAAAGGGAUUAGAUACCCCUGUAGUCCUAGCAGUAAACACUCCUCACUAAACAUUAGUACCUCCUCGAGAGGUAUUAGUGCUGUAGAGAAGUCGGAGAGUGAGCUACCUGGGAAGUAUAGUCGCAAGGCUGAAACUUAAAGGAAUUGGCGGGGAGGCACUACAACGGGUGACGCGUGCGGUUUAAUUAGAUACUACACCGUGAACCUCACCAGGAGCGAUAGCAGUAUGAAGGUCAGUCUAAAGGGCUUACCUGACACGCUAAGAGGAGUUGCAUGGCCGACAUAAGCCUGUGCCGUGAGGUGACUUGUUAAAUCAAGUAACAGGCGAGACCCUCGUGUUUAAUUGCUACGAAAGGGCACAUUAAACAGACUGCAUUGGUAACAAUGAGGAAGGUGGGGGCAAUGUUAGGUGAGUACAGCCCGAAUCCCCUGGGCAACACGCGCGCGGCAAAGUCAUAUUCAAUGAGACGCAACUCCGAAAGGAGAAGCUAAUCCCAUAAAGUAUGGCUUAGUUCAGAUUGAAGUUUGCAACCCAACUUCAUGACGUUGGAAUCCGUAGUAAUCGUUCGUUAUCAGCGAACGGUGAAUAAGUCACGGCCUCUUGCACACACUGCCCGUCAAACCAACCGAGUUAUGCUUUGGCGAGGCCCUUCCGGGACGAACCUUAGUAUGACAAGGUAGGUUAAGUCGGCACAAGGUA